rnacentral:rRNA from 1 species
GACGAACGCUGGCGGCGUGCCUAAUACAUGCAAGUAGAACGCACAGUUUAUACCGUAGCUUGCUACACCAUAGACUGUGAGUUGCGAACGGGUGAGUAACGCGUAGGUAACCUGCCUGGUAGCGGGGGAUAACUAUUGGAAACGAUAGCUAAUACCGCAUAAUAUUGAUUAUUGCAUGAUAAUUGAUUGAAAGAUGCUAUUGCAUCACUACCAGAUGGACCUGCGUUGUAUUAGCUAGUAGGUGAGGUAACGGCUCACCUAGGCGACGAUACAUAGCCGAGCUGGGAGGGUGGACGGCCAAACUGGGACUGAGACAAGGGCCAGACUCCUAAGGGAGGCAGCAGUAGGGAAUCUUCGGCAAUUGACGAAAGUCUGACCGAGCAACGCCGCGUGAGUGAAGAAGGUUUUCGGAUCGUAAAGCUCUGUUGUAAGAGAAGAACGGGUGUGAGAGUGGAAAGUUCACACUGUGACGUUAUCUUACCAGAAAGGGACGGCUAACUACGUG